ACUAUUUUGGCAGAAAAAAUGUAAUGGUUUUAGAGUCCAGAAAUAUAUAAUAAAUUAUAUAGAUAGUA
rnacentral:tRNA from 1 species